GAGAGUAUAGCUCAAGUGGUAGAGUGCAUGUUUUACAUGGUGCUGGGUUCAAUUCCCAGUAUCUUCU
rnacentral:tRNA from 1 species